rnacentral:rRNA from 1 species
CGCACGGGUGAGUAACACGUAUGGAACCUGCCCUAUGCAGGGGGAUAAGCGGAAGAAAUUCCGUCUAAUACCGCAUAACACCAUUUGGAGACAUCUCCAGGUGGUCAAAGGAGGCGACUCCGGCAUAGGAUGGCCAUGCGUCGCAUUAGCUAGUCGGCGGGGUAACGGCCCACCGAGGUGACGAUGCGUAGGGGUUCUGAGAGGAAGGUCCCCCACACUGGUACUGAGACACGGACCAGACUCCUACGGGAGGCAGCAG